rnacentral:rRNA from 1 species
GUCUAGAAGGGGGUGCUAUACAUGCAGUCGAGCGGACAGAUGGGAGCUUGCUCCCUGAUGUUAGCGGCGGACGGGUGAGUAACACGUGGGUAACCUGCCUGUAAGACUGGGAUAACUCCGGGAAACCGGGGCUAAUACCGGAUGGUUGUUUGAACCGCAUGGUUCAAACAUAAAAGGUGGCUUCGGCUACCACUUACAGAUGGACCCGCGGCGCAUUAGCUAGUUGGUGAGGUAACGGCUCACCAAGGCAACGAUGCGUAGCCGACCUGAGAGGGUGAUCGGCCACACUGGGACUGAGACACGGCCCAGACUCCUACGGGAGGCAGCAGUAGGGAAUCUUCCGCAAUGGACGAAAGUCUGACGGAGCAACGCCGCGUGAGUGAUGAAGGUUUUCGGAUCGUAAAGCUCUGUUGUUAGGGAAGAACAAGUACCGUUCGAAUAGGGCGGUACCUUGACGGUACCUAACCAGAAAGCCACGGCUAACUACGUGCCAGCAGCCGCGGUAAUACGUAGGUGGCAAGCGUUGUCCGGAAUUAUUGGGCGUAAAGGGCUCGCAGGCGGUUUCUUAAGUCUGAUGUGAAAGCCCCCGGCUCAACCGGGGAGGGUCAUUGGAAACUGGGGAACUUGAGUGCAGAAGAGGAGAGUGGAAUUCCACGUGUAGCGGUGAAAUGCGUAGAGAUGUGGAGGAACACCAGUGGCGAAGGCGACUCUCUGGUCUGUAACUGACGCUGAGGAGCGAAAGCGUGGGGAGCGAACAGGAUUAGAUACCCUGGUAGUCCACGCCGUAAACGAUGAGUGCUAAGUGUUAGGGGGGUUUCUGCCCCCUAGUGCUGCAGCUAACGCAUUAAGCACUCCGCCCUGGGGGAGUACGGUCGCGAGGACUGACACUCAAAGGAAUUGACGGGGGCCCGGCACCAGCGGUGGAGCAUGUGGUUUAAUUCAAGCAACGCGACAACCUUACCAGGUCUGACAUCCUCUGACUAUUCUUAGGAUAGUACGU